rnacentral:rRNA from 1 species
GGGGGAUGACGUCAAGUCCUCAUGGCCCUUAUGGGUAGGGCUUCACACGUCAUACAGUGGUACAUACAGAGGGCCGCCAACCCGCGAGGGGGAGCUAAUCCCAGAAAGUGUAUCGUAGUCCGGAUUGUAGUCUGCAACUCGACUACAUGAAGUUGGAAUCGCUAGUAAUCGCGGAUCAGCAUGUCGCGGUGAAUACGUUCCCGGGUCUUGUACACACCGCCCGUCACACCAUGGGAGCGGGUUUUACCAGAAGUAGGUAGCUUAAC